rnacentral:misc_RNA from 1 species
UCCGGCUUAUCACCGGCAGUCCCACUAGAGUGCCCAACUGAAUGAUGGCAACUAAUGGCGAGGGUUGCGCUCGUUGCGGGACUUAACCCAACAUCUCACGACACGAGCCGACGACAGCCAUGCAGCACCUGUGUCCGGUCCAGCCGAACUGAAGAGUUCCAUCUCUGGUACUCGCGACCGACAUGUCAAACGCUGGUAAGGUUCUGCGCGUUGCUUCGAAUUAAACCACAUGCUCCACCGCUUGUGCAGGCCCCCGUCAAUUUCUUUGAGUUUUAACCUUGCGGCCGUACUCCCCAGGCGGAUGACUUAAUGCGUUAGCUGCGCCACCGAAAACCCAUGGUCCCCGACAGCUAGUCAUCAUCGUUUACGGCGUGGACUAC